rnacentral:tRNA from 1 species
GAGGGUAUAACUCAGGGGUAGAGCGCCUGCUUAGCAUGCACGAGGUCCUGGGUUCAAUCCCCAGUCCCUCCA